UCCUGAUUCUGGGGGAGAGGGUAUC
rnacentral:piRNA from 1 species